rnacentral:tRNA from 1 species
GGGGGUGUGGCUCAGUGGUAGAGCACUUGCCCAGCAUGUUCAAGGCCCUGAGUUCCAUUCCCAGCAUUGCCA